rnacentral:rRNA from 1 species
GGUAAUACGUAGGGKGCAAGCGUUGUCCGGAAUUAUUGGGCGUAAAGAGCUCGUAGGSGGUUUGUCGCGUCUGCUGUGAAAUCUGGGGGCUCMACCYCCAGCCUGCAGUGGGUACGGGCAGAMUARAGUGCGGUAGGGGAGAUUGGAAUUCCUGGUGUAGCGGUGGAAUGCGCAGAUWUCAGGAGGAACACCGAUGGCGAAGGCAGAUCUCUGGGCCGUAACUGACGCUGAGGAGCGAAAGCAUGGGGAGCGAACAGGAUUAGAUACCCUGGUAGUCCAUGCCGUAAACGUUGGGAACUAGAUGUGGGGGCCAUUCCACGGUCUCCGUGUMGCAGCUAACGCAUUAAGUUCCCCGCCUGGGGAGUACGGCCGCAAGGMUAAAACUCAAAGGAAUUGACGGGGGCCCGCACAAGCGGCGGAGCAUGCGGAUUAAUUCGAUGCAACGCGAAGAACCUUACCAAGGCUUGACAUAUACCGGAAACGUCCASAGAUGGUCGCCCCGCAAKGUCGGUAUACAGGUGGUGCAUGGUUGUYGUCAGCUCGUGUCGUGAGAUGUUGGGUUAAGUCCCGCAACGAGCGCAACCCUYKUUMUAUGUUGCCAGCACGUUAUGGUGGGAACUCAUAGGAGACYGCCGGGGUCAACUCGGAGGAAGGUGGGGAUGAYGUCAAAUCAUCAUGCCCCUUAUGUYUUGGGYUUCACGCRUGCUACAAUGGCCGGUACAAAGGGSUGCGAUACCGUAAGGUGGAGCGAAUCCCAAAAAGCCGGUCUCA